AUUAAACUCCUUUUAACCAGUUGCGUGAGUAGACAUACCUUUAUUUACCUGGAUUGAACUACAUUUCACAAGUAGGGUAAUGACUACAGGUGGAAGAUCCAAUGGAUUUGGUUUUGUGUGUUUUAGUUCUCCAGAGGAGGCAAACAAAGCUAUCACAAAAAUGAAUGGUAGGAUUGUGGUAGCCAAACCUUUGUAUGUGGCUCCAGCUCAACGUAAAGAAGAUAGAAAUGCUCACUUGGCAUCACAGUAUAUGCAGCGUAUUGCCAGUCUCAAAAUGCGGGGACAGCCUUCUUUCAGUAUGAUGAGUCAGGUGUUCCCUUCAGCUGGAUCCGGGUAUAUACUUCCUACCAUGACAUAGGGACAGAUACAUUUCUAUGCCCCAAUAAAGGCGCCACAAAUGAUAACAAGUCCCCAACGUCCGACACAGCUACGAAGACCAGUUAAUGCUAUAAGUACAACUCCUGUACCUUCAAGGUUGAGAAAGUCAAACGUCCAGGGUGAUAUAAAUGUUCAG